ACUCAAUAACUAGUCAGAUCCUAGCAAACCAACACAAGGGAUAUUACAUAAAGAUGAUCUUGAUCAUGUAAGGCAGCUCACAAGAAUCAUAUAAGAUGAUCUCAAUCAUGUUAGGCAGCUCAUGAGAUUCAUAGAUGAAGCACAGUAAUAAGAUGAUCUCAAUCAUGUUAGGCAGCUCAUGAGAUUCAUACAAUGGAGAGAACAACCAUCUAGCUACUGCCAUGGACCCGUAGUCCUAUGGUGAACUACUCACACAUCACUCCGGAGGCGGGCAUGGUGAUGAAGAAGGCCUCCGGUGAUGAUCUCCCCUCCGGCAGGGUGCCGGGAAGAGCUUCUGAUCUCCCCGCGACGACGGCGGCGGCUACGGACUUCUUUCUGGAACUUUUGCGCUAUAUUUAGGGUUUUCCCUUCGGGGUGAAUAAAUAGGCGAAAGGGCGGAGCCGGGGGACGCUCUGGUGGGCCACACCCCACUCAGGCGCGGGCAGGGGCCCAAUCGCGCCUGGGGGUGGUGUGGGCCCACCAGGCCCCCCCCAGGUGCCCCCUUCUGGCUUUUGGAGUCUUCCGGUGUAAAACUUCGUAAUAUAGCUCCUUUGUCAAUUCCGAGAAUAUUUAUUUUUUAGCUCUCCUGGAACCAAAAACAGCAGAAAACAGGAACUGGCCACUUUGGCAUCUUGUCAAUAUGUUAGUGGCAGGAAAUCAAUAAAAACACCAAGAAGCACAAGUAAAAUAUAAAGUAAUUGGCAAUAAACAAGCAUGGAGCAUCAAAAAUUAUAGAUACAUUUCCAAUGUAUCAGAGCUCGCGGGGCGGCGGAGGGUCAGGCAGCAGACAGAGGAAGAAAACAAGACUGAGAAGUGUUUUGUGUCGAUGGCAUGUGGCGCCGGAAAGGCGCGGGCGGACACAUUUUUGUGUCCGGGCGUGUCUGGCCCGACGCAUCCGCGACGCAAAUUUGGGUCGAGGAUGGGUCGCGGCGGACAUGCCUGUCCGGAUGGGACGCACCGCUGGAGGGUUGUUUUUUGCCCCCAGACACAUUUCGGACAAAUCCGGACACAGCCGGACCGGAUGGGUAGCCCCAGUGCGGAUGCCCUUAGCACGUACAGGGCGAGCGCGUGCACUGGUGCAGCACGUCCAGUGUUCGAUUCCCCCGCUGCCGGGAGCACGUGGUACGACGCGUCGUGGCAGGUGUACAAAAUGUAUUUUAUUGGAGUGCAUUGGUUUAAAGUGCCUUUAAAUCUAGAUAUAGGAGCCACUAUUGAAAAUGCCUCUAAUAGUAUAUAUUUGGAGGCACUUUUAAAAACUGCCUACAAUGAUAAUUUGUGGCAUUGAUUUAAAGUGCCUUUGAAUAUAGACUAUAGGAGGCACUAUUGAAAAUGCCUCCAAUAAUAUACAUUUUGUGGCAUUUUUUAAAACUGCCUUUAAUUAGAGGCACAAUAAAAGGCAUAAUUUUAAAAAGUGCCUUCUAAAAUAACUAUUAGAGGCAAUUUAAAAAUAUACCUUCUAUUGACAGGGAUGUGAGGUAGUGGAGUACAGAAUAAAAGUUAUGGAAAUUACAAGACUAAAACAAAAUCUAGAAUUUCUGGAAAUUAAAAGAACGGGGGCAACCGCUAGGGUACCCGUAGCAGUGGUGCCUAGGUUCGGGUCAGCGUACCACGCAAGCAGGCCACGCGGCCCGGGUCAACGGUCGGGCGGAGGACCCGCCAGGCCAGGUCAUCCCCGGCGACCGGCCGGUGACCGACGCCAGCGACGGCGGAGCAGACCACCGGGGAACGCGCGAAGUGGCGUGGUCGAAGCACGGGCUCGUGCCGAACCUAGCUAGAGCGGCGCUGCUACUUCUGAGUCGCCGGAACGACGCCGGCGACAACCAUCUGAGGCGGCGCACGGCGCGGUGAUGUUCCAGGACGCGGUUGAGAGGGAGGAAGGGCUGGGGAGGUUGGCCUGCUCACCAGGAGUGCGACGGAAGGAUCGGGGAGGCCGGAGGAGCAGCGGCGGCGGCGCCAUGGUCAACGGCACGGCGGCCAGAGCUCGGGAAGACGGCGUCGCGGUCGUCGACGGCGGCCGUGGCCCGUGUUAGACGGCGGAGAAGGAGGGUUCGCGGGGCUCGACUCUGGCCGCGCCUCCGUGAUUCCUUCGCUGGGGUGAGAGAGUUGACUACGGCGAACUCAGCUGGCCUCCGGAUUACUACUCCGUUUCGGAACCAAAAAAAAG
rnacentral:rRNA from 1 species